rnacentral:rRNA from 1 species
UACAGAGGUGGCAAGCGUUGUUCGGAAUUACUGGGCGUAAAGGGCGCGUAGGCGGUCCUGUAAGUCCCGCGUGAAAUCCCCCGGCUCAACUGGGGAACUGCGCGGGAAACUGUGGGGCUUGAGUUCGGGAGAGGUGAGUGGAACUGCGAGUGUAGAGGUGAAAUUCGUAGAUAUUCGCAAGAACACCAGUGGCGAAGGCGGCUCACUGGCCCGAUACUGACGCUGAGGCACGAAAGCGUGGGGAGCAAACAGG